ACCCAAUACAAAGUUCCCUGGUGGCGACAUCUUGUUUUUCUAACUCUUGGUCAGCGAUGUCGGUCAUGCGCGUCAAUAAAAUUUUGUUUGUUCCCACGUUUUCAGCUUCUCAUGACUACCUAUCUCAUUGAAUCGCUCCACAAUAAGAGUAGAGUAUCUGAUUUUUCUUGGACCUUAUGGUAUCUAGCAAAACACCUUGCUCACAUUUUCAUUCAGCCUGAGAGAAGACUGGUCCUACUCAAGGUGUGAGGAAGGGGAUCCUUCAGCAGCAUCUCUCUCUUCCUCCACAGGCAGGGCUGAUGAGAACCUCCAGAGACAAAAACAAAAGGGUAAAGCCGGCCGGAGGGAUCGGGUCGGGGCGCUGUUUUACUGGAACUUGCGGCUGUUUCUGGAUUGCAGAAAUCCCUGGAGGGAAACAAUGCGUUCGGGGACUGAAGGAAACCGUUUGGCUCCGAUCUGUCCCAAGUCAUCUGGGGAGGAAUGCUGCUCGUGUGACAGAGGCUGGUGCGCACCAAAGGUUUUGCUGCUCUCUGUGGAGUGUGCGUAUCCUGGGAGCGACGUGGGAAAUUCACACAGGACCAGGGGGAGAAAGCAAAGUGUAAACGCCGCUGAAAGGCAAGGGCAGGAAGGCAACGGGCCUUUGUUCAGGGCCCAGGGAGUGGUGCUGUGGUAGGUGUACACCCAUGGAUAGUUCACUCUGUAUAAAUCUCCUUUAUAAAUUACCAUGACUCAGGUCUUCUUUUAUAACAAGAGAAAAUGGAGUAAGAGAAAUAUGUUUAGCCGGGCGCAGUGGCACACGCCUGUAAUCCCAGCACUCAGGAGGCUGAGGCAGGAGGAUCGUUGCGAGUUCGAGACCAGCCUGGGCUGCAAAGUGAGCUCAAGGUCAGCCUGAACUGCAUAGUGAGACCCUGUCUCAAAAA
rnacentral:lncRNA from 1 species